CUCAGUUCUUGAGCUCCUGGUGGGAUGCCGGACCACUUUCCUUCCUUUGGCUUGUUCAGAUUUCCCUCUUUGGCAGGAAAAGAAACUGCUGGCACAGUUCUCAAGGCUACUGGAACAUAGGAACCUUCCUGCUGAUAUGCAACAUGCCAUCAGGAUCACCUGACACGUAUUUAGGGUACGCAGGGCAAGCCUAUGAAACCUGUAAUCUGGAACACGCAGUCCUGGUACGCAGCAACACAGCUCCUGUAUCCCAGAGGCCUGCAUGUCUCACAGUUGUCUGCAUUUUGCAGAGCAGCCCAUCACAGAGUGUUAUUUAAAUUGCUUUGAUAUACUUCAUUAGUCAACCUGAACUUUAAUAGGUAUCUGCAGUGGCAGAACAGGAUGAAGCAGCUGUCUCACACAUUCACUAAGGCCCUCAGGCAAAGCAAGUCUUCGAAGCAGUAGUAAAUUCCACAAAUGGCCUUACAGGGUGCAAACAUUCCUGUAUGUGUUCUAACACAGUUUGACUGCUCAGUCCCAGCACUCACUACUGUGAUGGAGUGCUCUCCAGCUCAGCACGAACUCUCUUCAAACUCUAAACCGUUUCACUGUUUUUAACAGGAGCUUGGCAUUCAGCUAUCAGCCAGCUGCCUCUCAAGUGCAUGACUUUAUUUCAACAUGAAAACAGUGCUCCUUCUAACACCCAACUGGAUCUUAAGAUGUUUGGAGUUUUUUCUGGUUGACACAGGAAGUACAAAUAAGCCUACACAUCCUGCAUUUCUGACUCUGAAAGAGCUCAAAUAGCAUAAAAAUAUAUUAGCAUGGAAACAAACUAUUUAUUAAAAAGGGGGAAAUUCAGAUUUAGUCAGGACAUUUAAAAAAAAAAAUCUGGAAAACAAAUAAUAUAUUCACUACAUCUAGAAUCCUGUCGUAGACAUUCCAGCAGAGUAUUCGCAGCAACCGAUGUUUGAGAUGCUGCAUAGUGCCACGUGGUUUAAAAACGUGGAAACUAAUAUCACCUACUGGCUACUGUCAUUACAUGGAAAGUUUGCAGCGACUCAAUUGCAGAAUGGGCCUGGAUUCUUUCCCAGAUGAGAAAGAGAUGCUUCUUAUUUCCUUCACCAGAAACACCUCUCCUUCCACCAGAGGACAACAGUUAAGAGUGAGAAUAUCAUCAACUGAUGGCAGAAGAUAAUUUGGGAAGAUUCCUAUGCAGAAGAUAAUAACUCCUAAUAGGAAUAAUAAACCCCUGAGGCAAAAAAAAAAAAAAAAAUCCUAUUUUUAGCUGUCUGGGACAACUUCAAACACUAGCCUGACAGGAAUGUGAGUAGAGAAAUACUUGGGCAGAUAAUCCCCAGCCCACCUCUUCCUGAGCUGAAUCCCACAUUGCAUUCAUGGUACAGCUUAUGCAAAACUGUUAUGAUGCAAAAAGUUAUACUCCAACAAUAUGAAAACGAACCCUGUAAGAGCAUAGGAGGAUGGAAUGGAAUGGAAUGGAAUGGAAUGGUAUGGAAUGGAAUGGAAUGGAAUGGGAUGGGAUGGGAUGG
ensembl:lncRNA